rnacentral:rRNA from 1 species
CAGCCGCCACGGUAAUACAGAGGGUGCGAGCGUUAAUCGGAUUUACUGGGCGUAAAGCGUGUGUAGGUUGUUGUUCAAGUCAGUUGUGAAAUCCCUGGGCUCAACCUGGGAACUGCUUCUGAGACUGAACGACUAGAGUACGGUAGAGGGUGGUGGAAUUUCCGGUGUAGCGGUGAAAUGCGUAGAUAUCGGAAGGAACAUCAAUGGCGAAGGCAGCCACCUGGGCCUGUACUGACACUGAGACACGAAAGCGUGGGGAUCAAACAGGAUUAGAUACCCCUGUAGUCCCUGUCUCUUAUAA